UUGUUAAUCAUACUUCGAUGAAGAUUCCAAUGUGCACCUAUAGGAAGCUCGCUUCACUUAGAACAUCGAAUAUGCCAAGAAACCCGAGGCGAUCAUUCUUUGGGUGUCCAUAGGGUUACCACACUGCAACUAUUUCAAAUGGGCAAAUACCAGUGAGGAAAGAGAAAAAGAACUCGUAAAGAUAGAAAUUGAGUUGUUAAGAAAUGAGGAAGUGCUU